rnacentral:snRNA from 1 species
AUCACUUUUCGGCCUUUUGGCUAAGAUCAAGUUUAGUAUCUGUUCUUAUCAGUAAAAACGUUGGUCACUUAUUAAUUUAUAGGUAAGAACAAGUGUCCCACUGAAGAUGAAGUGACCUAUCUAAAGUCAGGAAUAUUAUUUCAUGACACAGCGAAAGCUCUAUUCCAACAUAC